GACGGAGGAUGCAAGCGUUAUCCGGAAUUAUUGGGCGUAAAGCGUCCGCAGGCGGCAGUUCAAGUCUGCUGUCAAAGACCGGGGCUUAACUUCGGAAAGGCAGUGGAAACUGAACAGCUAGAGUAUGGUAGGGGGAGAGGGAAUUCCUGGUGUAGCGGUGAAAUGCGUAGAUAUCAGGAAGAACAUCGGUGGCGAAGGCGCUCUGCUGGACCAUAACUGACACUCAGGGACGAAAGCGAGGGGAGCGAAUGGG
rnacentral:rRNA from 1 species